GGAGAGCAAAGACUUGCAGCUGCAGUUCAUGUACAGGGAGGAGGAGGAGGAGGAGACACAAGGCGGUCACAGAGUGUUCCAAUAGGAUCUGUGAAACAAAGACUUGGCUUAAGGAAUCUUCCUGAUGGAUCCAGUGUAUUUCAACUAUCAUUGUUAUAUCAUUAAUGUACAUCCACUAUCACGAUUAAAUGAAAUCUGAUACUCAUUACAAUCAGACAAGACAGACAUAUUUUUGACCUUCUCCAGCAACAUGCUGACUCCAAAAUUCUGACUACUAACAUUAAACCAUCACUGUAUUUCUACAAAAUUGCCAUGUCACAUUUCUUCAUUUGCUAGUCAGUGAACAUUCUGAAGGCAAAUAUUUGAUAUUAUUAAUAAUGCUAGAGUCUGGAGUUAAAGAUUAAACAAGGGAUACAAAAAUCCUUGCAAAAGUUUAAAAACAUCAUUUAGCUUUUUUGUAGAACUAUGCAAAUCAAUGUCUGAAAUAAAGCCCAGAAAAAAAAAACCUGUAUUUUAAAAUAUAUUUGAAUUCCUCUUUCGUUCUAUUUAACCCUCAGUCUUUUCCUGCUAAAUGUUUGCCCUGGAGCCUGCUGUGAAGAAAAUAAUGAGAGAAACUAU
rnacentral:lncRNA from 11 species